UACGGAGGGUGCAAGCGUUAAUCGGAAUUACUGGGCGUAAAGCGUGCGUAGGCGGUUUGUUAAGUUAGAUGUGAAAGCCCUGGGCUCAACCUGGGAACUGCAUUUAAAACUGGCAGACUAGAGUUUAAUAGAGGGGAGUGGAAUUUCAGGUGUAGCGGUGAAAUGCGUAGAGAUCUGAAGGAACACCAGUGGCGAAGGCGACUCCCUGGAUUAAAACUGACGCUGAGGUACGAAAGCGUGGGUAGCAAACAGG
rnacentral:rRNA from 1 species